rnacentral:lncRNA from 1 species
UUAUGCAAAUUAACAUCUUAAUUACAUUUAUCGAAAAUUACAAUUGAUUUGAUUUGUUCAACAUAAUAGAAUAACGGAUUGAUUGGGCAAAUAGACAACCCUAUUGUCUUCUUCGUGUGGAAGGCCGACGAUGGCCGGAGAUAUUGUCGGAAUGUCUUUGGAAGAUUUUAGAAGGGAAAGAAGGUAAAUCAGUUAAAUUGUGAAAUCUUAUUAAUAUUCAUUGGUUUGUUCAAGUAUUUAUAAUGUUCAUCUUGACCUUUAACUGAUGUAACUGCCUAUUACAUUGUAUUUAACUAUUUACUAGACUAAUAGAUUUCAUUAAUUUAAUUGUCCAUCAUCAUCUUGUUGAGCCACAAUAUCAAUCCAGUAAGCUUUCAUUGAAAUAAUUGCUAGCAUAAUCCUGUUAAAUACAAUAUUCCACAUGACUAAAUAAUGUUAGAGAAAAUAGUUAUCAUGUUAAUUAAUCUACUUUUGGGGUUUAUUUAUAUUCUUUUACUCCCCUCUCAAGCCUUGGAGUAUAGAUUUACUAUUCCAAGCUUGAAACAUGCAUUAUUUAUUUCAUUUUCUCUUAAAGUUUUGGUUAGCAUAUCUGCUAAUUGGAACUUUGUUUUUACCUGUUUAAGUUUGAUUUUCCCAUUACAUAUCAUUUCACUAACAAAAUGACAGUAUAAUUCUAUGUGCUUUGUACAUUCAUAAAACACAGGGUUAUUUACUAAAUGAAUAGCUGAUUUUUUGUUACAAUAUAGGGAAGUUGGUUAUCUUAAACUGAUUUAAUGUUGUACGUUUUAGGAACCCUAACCUCAAUUCAUCAAAUAGCUGAUGAAUCCAUAUUAUUUCAUAUGUUGUUUGUGCAAUUGCCCUGCAUUUUGCCUCACAUGAGGAUCUUGAAAUUAUCUUUUGCUUCUUUGAUUUCCAAGAAAUCAAUGAGUUUCCUAGUAGAAUGCAGAAAUCAGAAACAGAUUUUCUACUGAUUUGGCAUGAUGCCCAAUCAAAAUUACAAUAUCCUUAUAAUUUUAGAGAGCUUACCCUUCUGUAUAAGAGACCUUGCCCUGGGCAUUUUUCAGGUAUCUAAUUAAUUUCAUCAGUACCUGAAGAUGUAUUUGUUUUGGUUCAUUCAUAAAUUGACUAAGCCAAUGUAUGUAGAAGCUUAAGGCUGGGGUCUUGUGAUGUUAUGUAAAUUAGUUUACCCACCAUUUGUCUUUAGAAGCUUGUUCUUAAUUAAUUCAGAUUUAUCAUUGUUUAGGUCAAUAUCCAUUUUCAUGGGUAUUUUUGAUGGUUUGGCUCCAGGGAGUCAACUGUCUUUCAAUAAUCCUAAUGUAUACUUUCUUUGUGAAAGAAAUAUCCCUUCAUGUGUAUAUGAUACUUCAAUUCCUAAGAAGUAACUCAGUUUGCCUAUGAGUUUAAAUAUGUGCUCUGGUUGAAAUUUUAUAAUUUCAAUUUCAUGGUUAUUGUUUCCUAUUAUAAUUAUGUCAUCCACAUAUAUUAUUAUAUAUGUGAUGAUUUGAUUUUUAAUUUUGAUGAAGACACUACAAAAAAAAUGACCUUGUAUGUCGGCCUUUAGAUAGCGGAUUUUCACCAUCAAUAAUUCAGUUAUUUUGAUGACAGAUGUACGCCAUCUAUUCUUUGAGUUUGCCGAGAAAAGGUUUUGGCUCGACGGCGGUUCAAAUUUAUUUUCGAUGGCAAUGUUUAGAUGACGGAAAUCCGCCAUCUAAACUAUCUCACCCAAAAUUUCGAAUGCCCCCAAUAUUCAGCCCGAUUACCUGAUUAAAUUGACUUAACAUGGCGGACAUCCGCCAUGUUAAGUUUUCGGGGAGUCGGGCGGAAAAAGCCCGCCCAAAUUUCGAUUGGACGGACUUUUCCACCUUACAUGGCGGCAUUUAAGUGUACUUACUUCCUUCCUUGAUCUUCCAUGAAGUUCUGCCGCUGCCGACGAAUCCCUUCUCAUCGCCGUCCGAUUUCUCCGUCGAUCUUCCGUCUUACGCCGGUUGUAGGCUCGCCGGUCGUCCUAAGCCGCUCGCCGUUGUUGACAGCUCCCGCCGGUACCUGCAUCUCCUACUGUGAAGGUAUAUUCAUUUGUUAUGAUUUUUAUUAUUUUGAUUUAUAUGUAUUUUGUGUUAUGGUUUGUAUAUUGAUGUUGGAGUUAUCUAUUUUAUGGUUAUCUAUGUUUGAAUAUGAAUGUGGUUAUCUAUGUGGUGAGUUUUUGCGAUUUAGUGAUGGGUUGUUGUAAUGAUGGCCUGCUGUAAUGUUGGG